rnacentral:rRNA from 1 species
UACGAAGGGGGCUAGCGUUGCUCGGAAUCACUGGGCGUAAAGGGUGCGUAGGCGGGUCUUUAAGUCAGGGGUGAAAUCCGUGGAGCUCAACUCCAGAACUGCCUUUGAUACUGAGGAUCUUGAGUCCGGGAGAGGUGAGUGGAACUGCGAGUGUAGAGGUGAAAUCGUAGAUAUUCGCAAGAACACCAGUGGCGAAGGCGGCUCACUGGCCCGGUACUGAC